rnacentral:rRNA from 3 species
GUGAAGGAACUAGGCAAAAUGGUGCCGUAACUUCGGGAGAAGGCACGCUGACACGUAGGUGAAGUGAUUUACUCACGGAGCUGAAGUCAGCCGAAGAUACCAGCUGGCUGCAACUGUUUAUUAAAAACACAGCACUGUGCAAACACGAAAGUGGACGUAUACGGUGUGACGCCUGCCCGGUGCCGGAAGGUUAAUUGAUGGGGUCAGCGCAAGCGAAGCUCCUGAUCGAAGCCCCGGUAAACGGCGGCCGUAACUAUAACGGUCCUAAGGUAGCGAAAUUCCUUGUCGGGUAAGUUCCGACCUGCACGAAUGGCGUAAUGAUGGCCAGGCUGUCUCCACCCGAGACUCAGUGAAAUUGAACUCGCUGUGAAGAUGCAGUGUACCCGCGGCAAGACGGAAAGACCCCGUGAACCUUUACUAUAGCUUGACACUGAACAUUGAGCCUUGAUGUGUAGGAUAGGUGGGAGGCUUUGAAGUGUGGACGCCAGUCUGCAUGGAGCCGACCUUGAAAUACCACCCUUUAAUGUUUGAUGUUCUAACGUGGACCCGUGAUCCGGGUUGCGGACAGUGUCUGGUGGGUAGUUUGACUGGGGCGGUCUCCUCCUAAAGAGUAACGGAGGAGCACGAAGGUUGGCUAAUCCUGGUCGGACAUCAGGAGGUUAGUGCAAUGGCAUAAGCCAGCUUGACUGCGAGCGUGACGGCGCGAGCAGGUGCGAAAGCAGGUCAUAGUGAUCCGGUGGUUCUGAAUGGAAGGGCCAUCGCUCAACGGAUAAAAGGUACUCCGGGGAUAACAGGCUGAUACCGCCCAAGAGUUCAUAUCGACGGCGGUGUUUGGCACCUCGAUGUCGGCUCAUCACAUCCUGGGGCUGAAGUAGGUCCCAAGGGUAUGGCUGUUCGCCAUUUAAAGUGGUACGCGAGCUGGGUUUAGAACGUCGUGAGACAGUUCGGUCCCUAUCUGCCGUGGGCGCUGGAGAACUGAGGGGGGCUGCUCCUAGUACGAGAGGACCGGAGUGGACGCAUCACUGGUGUUCGGGUUGUCAUGCCAAUGGCACUGCCCGGUAGCUAAAUGCGGAAGAGAUAAGUGCUGAAAGCAUCUAAGCACGAAACUUGCCCCGAGAUGAGUUCUCCCUGAGACUUUAGGUCUCCUGAAGGAACGUUGAAGACGACGACGUUGAUAGGCCGGGUGUGUAAGCGCAGCGAUGCGUUGAGCUAACCGGUACUAAUGAACCGUGAGGCUUAACCUUACAACGCCGAAG